UACAAUGGAUCAAGAGGAAGGCCUGACCUCCUUGGACAAUAUAGUCACUCAGUUCAACACCUAUGAAGAUUUUCUCGACUCGCAGAUCACUACUGUGGACUUAUACUAUCUGGAGGAUGAAAGUCUGGCCCGCCAGUUGGUGGAGCUAGGCUACCGAGGGACUGGGGAAGUGGUGAAAAGGGAAGAUUUUGAAGCAAGGAAGACAGCUAUAGAGAUUGCAAGGCUGGCUGAAAGAACACAGAAAAAGACACUAACAAGUGCUGGGAAAGACCUGAAGGAUAAUUUUCUGAAGGCCCUAGCAUUGAGAGAAGAAGACAAUCGGAGUGGAAAAGUGAGCUCUGUGAUCUUUAUUCGUGACAGAAAUGCUCAUGGGCAGGAGGUGUCAGGAUACAUUGACUAUGCCCAUAGACUGAAGAUUGAAGAUUUUGAAGUCUACUUUAGUGGGAAAAAAAGACUUCUUCCUAAGUCCACAGAUAUGAGCUUUUACAACUGGGACAGUCAGAUUGCUGUUUGGAAUUCAAGUCCCAAUUACCAAGUGAUUCCUGAUAAUCCAGAAGGUUUACUUUUCAAAUACAAAAGAGAUAGAAAAAUUCUCAAUGUGGACCCUAAGCCCUCUGCUUUGGCCUAAAAGGAGUCCUAGAAAUCCUGACUCAACCCACUGGAGAUGCAGUCUGAAAGUUGUCUAACCAAUGUCAUCUCAACUUUGCAGUGUUAACAAUUUUGGAGUACGUGGUAUAGUUCUUUUCUACAAGAUCCUGAGACAGUUCUGCAUUGAAGAUGCAGAUUGUGACCUGUAAGGUUCCACCAGGUGACAACUCAACUAGAACGCCUAUACAAACCAAACUCUACAUACAAGCUGUCAUUUUUGACCACGUUUCCAGAAGAAAGACCUAACUACCUAACUAUCAACAUAUUAAAU